AGGUGAAUCAAGCAAGACCAACUUGCAGGAGGAAGAGAAAGGUCAAACUCUAACAGUUCCAGGAACACUUCUGGUAUGUCUUAUGAAGAUAAAUACAUAAAUUCUUUUUGAAAGGUAAGAACACAAUAUGUAAUGUCCAUUUAUAUUUUACAGGGUUCCUUUGUGUGAGAGCAAUUGAUACAAUAACUGGAGCUCCAAAGCCUAUAUCAUCUAUAUGGCAUCGCAACACAACAAACCAAGUUCGAAAGAGAAACAAAAAUGUGUCAACUGGGUCGCCAAAGGAGUUUUAAUCAAUACUUUUGGUUUUCCUUUUUACUGUGGUUAAGGAUAAUUUGUAUGCUUCUUUUUGUUCUUUUUCCAAAUUCGAAUUCAGUUUGUUUUAGAAAUACUUGAUUAUCGUUUCUGCUAAUGUAUUUCAAGGGUUCAGUCUUU